rnacentral:rRNA from 1 species
AGCAGCCGCGGUAAUUCCAGCUCCAAUAGCGUAUAUUAAAGUUGUUGCAGUUAAAAAGCUCGUAGUUGAAUUUCGGGAUCGGCAUGUUGGUCGUGCCUUACGGGGUAUGAACUGGCAUCGUCGGUUUCUCACCUUCUGGAGAAUCGUGAUGCUCUUAAUUGGGUGUUACGUGGAUCCAGGACCUUUACCUUGAAAAAAUUAGAGUGUUUAAAGCAGGCAUUUUGCUCGAAUACAUUAGCAUGGAAUAAUAAAAUAGGACGGUUUGGUUCUAUUUUGUUGGUUUCUAGGAUCACCGUAAUGAUUAAUAGGGAUAGUUGGGGGCAUUAGUAUUCAAUUGUCAGAGGUGAAAUUCUUGGAUUUAUUGAAGACUAACUACUGCGAAAGCAUUUGCCAAGGAUGUUUUCAUUAAUCAAGAACGAAAGUUAGGGGAUCGAAGACGAUCAGAUACCGUCGUAGUCUUAACCAUAAACUAUGCCGACUAGGAAUCAGACGAUGUUAAUUUUUUAAUGACUCGUUUGCACCUUACGGGAAAACC